AUUGAACGCUGGCGGCAGGCCUAACACAUGCAAGUCGAACGAGUGGCGGACGGGUGAGCAAUGUCUGGGAAACUGCCUGAUGGAGGGGGCUAACUACUGGAAACGGUAGCUAAUACCGCAUACCAUCGGAUGUGCCCAGAUGGGAUUAGCUAGUAGGUGGGGUAAAGGCUCACCUAGGCGACGAUGCCUAGCUGAGCUGAGAGGAUGACCGGCCACACUGGAACUGAGACACGGUCCAGACUCCUACGGGAGGCAGCAGUAGGGAAUAUUGCACAAUGGGCGCAAGCCUGAUGCAGCCAUGCCGCGUGUGUGAAGAAGGCCUUCGGGUUGUAAAGUUCUUUCGGCGGUGAGGCGUUACCCGAAGAGGAAGCACCGGCUAACUCCGUGCCAGCAGCCGCGGUAAUAC
rnacentral:rRNA from 1 species